rnacentral:lncRNA from 1 species
AAAGACCUCUAGCAAAGAAGAGGGCUAAAGAGAGCACAGAGCAAUGGCUUCCUCCAUGAUUUCUUCAGCUACCGUGGCUUCGGUUUACGCUGACCGUGCCGCCCCGGCACAAGCUAGCUUGGUUGCACCAUUCACUGGCCUCAAGUCUGCCUCAGCUUUCCCCGGCGCCAAGAAGACCAAUGACAUCACCUCCAUUGCAAGCAAUGGUGGAAGAGUGCAAUGCAUGAAGGUAAGACUACUUAUCAACAUGUUGCUACAAUUAAUUUACAUUCAAAACAAUAUACCCAAAUGCAUGUUGAAGUAACUACUUCACGAGGAACCGAAAUACAUAACUUGUGAAUAUACAAAUGAAUUGUCUGAAUUACAGUCUGAUAACUUAACAUGUCGUAAAAAAAUACAAUUUUUUUCAUAAUCGUAGCAUAUUUACAUACCCACUAUUAACUAUAAUUAAAGAAAAUGUAGUUUAUUUCCAAGCUUACCAAUCCUUUCGUGUGCUUCCUGGCCGCUAAUUAGUAAUAGUUCCUCUAUUUUUUUGGCCAAGAAGGUACUAAUCGAAGUACUAGAACAUCGAUUUAUCGAAUAUUUUGAUUGAUACAGGUGUGGCCUACAGUUGGACUGAAGAAGUUCGAGACUCUCUCCUACCUUCCACCACUCUCUCCUGAGUCUUUGGCCAAGGAAGUAGACUACCUUCUCCGCAAGAACUGGGUUCCCUGCUUGGAAUUUGAGUUGGAGGUUAAUAAUUUCUUUUUAUAAACUUAUUUAUAUAUGUUAGCUUCAUGUAAUAUUUGUUUGCUGACUUAAUUUUCUUGAACAAAAUUGUGGUUUUAUAGAAGGGAUUUGUGUACCGUGAGAACCACAGGUCACCAGGGUACUAUGAUGGAAGGUACUGGACCAUGUGGAAGCUGCCCAUGUUUGGAUGCACAGACUCUUCCCAAGUGUUGAAAGAGCUCGAGGAGGCCAAGAAGGCUAACCCCAACUCUUUCAUCCGUAUCAUCGGAUUCGACAACGUUCGUCAAGUGCAGUGCAUCAGUUUCAUCGCCUACAAGCCUGCAGGCUACUAAUUUCAAGUUUCAUGAUUUUUAUUUUAUGUUGUUUGUGGCUUGUUAGCCAAGGGUCUCGGUGGUUUGUUUAAGUCUGUACUUAAUUAGGCCUUUCAAGACCUUUGUUGGUUUCUUUUCUUUCCCUUUUUCGAGACAAUUUCCUUUGUUUUCGAAGUUGGUGUUUUUCGGAUUCAUAAUGUGGUGGUGUUGAGAAUAUUCAUGAAUAAAAUGAUAUCCGUAUUUUAUUUUCAGUCCGAAUAAAGCUACAUGUAGCAUGUUUAUUAAUUACAUUACUAAUUACAUCUCUCAUCUCUUACUAAGACAUACACUCACGCACAUGUUUAGAGGUGUGGUGAACAAUGUUAUUGGUAAUAAUGUAAUAAUAGUUUUAUUGUUUUCUAAUUAGGAUUUUAAUUCAGUUUCUAAUUUCCUUUAUGAGUUUGGGAAUGUACACAGAUGAUGGUGAAUUAUACUGGGGAAAGUUGAAAUUUGUUCUGAAGAUUACUCAAGGUGAAUAAGAUCUCUUCAAUGAUUUUCUCAAAAAUACUUCUCUUAAAUGCAAUUGUUCAUGAAAACAAUUCAAGUUUGAUAGCCAGAUAAGUAACUAAAGUAAGUAUAAAAUUAAAAAUUACCAACAAAUUGCAGUAUUUGUAUGUACCCAAAAGGAAAAAACAAAAGCUUUCUCAAGUCUGUUUAAAUUGGAUAUAUUCAAACAAGAUAUACAACUUUUUAAGUUCAAUUUUACGUUUUCUAUUGAAGCAUGAGCUUAUAACUAAGCAGAACAUUAAAGUCGUUAACCACGUCAUAAGCCUUCAGGUUAUAGAUGGGUACCAAAUUACAAAAUCACAACAUAAGCUCAGUCCCAUUUUGAUGGCACAUUUUUUGAGCCAGAAUUCAGCUACUAAUUGCUAACUUAAUUUUUGCAAUAUUUCUUUAUUUUUAUUUUGAAAUUCAAUAAAACCUUCUUCAAGCACUUGCGCUUCUAUCAAUUUCGUAUCACACAUUUUUUCAAUUGACCGACUAGUUUUCUUGGACCCUAGAUAGCUACACUUAUGGACAUGCAUUUCUCCAGAUAAAGAAAAAGAUAAGCUGGGUCAUUUCAAAGUCGCCGCACUAAAAUUACAACUUUACCCUAAACCCUAUAUUCAUAUCCACACAGAAAUUUCGAAGCUGGCUUCCAACCGUGUUUUGUGUUUACACGAGCUUGAUGACGACCCUCUAGAUGAAAUUAGUGAUUUGUUAAAGAAUGAAUCAAUCUGGUGUGAAAUGACCAAAGUCAGUUGUCAUGCAAAGCCAGAAGAAGAAAAAAAAUAAUGGACAAUCAUGUUAAAAUAUGAAAAUUAUGAGAGAACUAUGAGAGAAUAUUUGUUUGUGGGAAUUUUCUGUGUAUUCUUCUCCUUGUAGGAGGUCUUAUUUAUAAUACAACGAAACCUGAAUGGACAAGUAAAUAAUAAAUUCCUAAAUCUAUUUACAGUAAAAAAUCAUGAAUUAAAGUAAAUCAAUUACAAUUAUAAUAGGAAUUCUUGGUGUGUAAGGAAAGUAAGUCAAUAUCCACAAGUCACGCCAACACUCCCCCUCACGUUGGUGCAUAGAUGUCGCUAAUGCCCAACUGAUCCAGUGAAUUGUGGAAUGUUUUACUGGAAAUCGCCUUUGUCAAAAUAUCUGUCAAUUGAUCCUCGGAUUUCACAAAAGGAAACUGAAACACUUUAGCCUCAAGCUUCUAUUUGAUGAAGUGUCGAUCCACCUCAACAUGUUUAGUACGAUCAUGCUGAAUCGGAUUCUGCGCAAUGGUUAUAGCAGCCUUGUUGUCACAAAAGAGAUUCAUUGUGGAUGUAGGUUUAUACCUAAGUUCAGUAAGCAACUUUCUUAACCAAAGAAGUUCACAAAUCCCUUUAGUCAUGCCUCUGAACUCGGCUUCUGUACUGGAUAAAGCUACUACAUUCUGUUUCUUGCUUCUCCAUGUCACCAAAUUACCUCCCACGAAUGUGAAGUAACCCGAUGUGGAUUUUCUAUAUGUUACAUUACCUGCCCAAUAUGCAUCUGAAUAACCAUCAAUAUUUAGAUGACCAUGCUUUGAGAACAUAAGUCCUUUUCCAGUUGCAGACUUCAAAUAUCUAAGUAUCCGAAGAACUGCAUUCAUGUGGUCUUCACUUGGAGAGUGCAUAAAUUGACUGACAACCCUCAUCGCAUAAGCAAUGUCUGGU